rnacentral:rRNA from 1 species
UUCUGGCUCAGAUUGAACGCUGGCGGCGUGCUUAACACAUGCAAGUCGAACGCGAAAGGGGCUUCGGUCCUGAGUAAAGUGGCGCACGGGUGAGUAACGCGUGGAUAAUCUGCCCUUAUGAUUGGAAUAACAGUUGGAAACGGCUGCUAAUACCGGAUACGCUCAAAAUGAACUUUUUGAGGAAAGAUGGCCUCUGCUUGCAUGCUAUCGCAUAAGGAUGAGUCCGCGUCCCAUUAGCUUGUUGGCGGGGUAACGGCCCACCAAGGCAUCGAUGGGUAGCCGAUUUGAGAGGAUGAUCGGCCACACUGGAACUGAAACACGGUCCAGACUCCUACGGGAGGCAGCAGUGGGGAAUAUUGCGCAAUGGGCGAAAGCCUGACGCAGCGACGCCGCGUGAGGGAUGAAGGUUUUCGGAUCGUAAACCUCUGUCAGAAGGGAAGAAACUACGUUGUGCUAAUCAGCAGCGUACUGACGGUACCUUCAAGGAAGCACCGGCUAACUCCGUGCCA